GAUGAAGAACGCAGCGAAAUGCGAUAAGUAAUGUGAAUUGCAGAUUUCAGUGAAUCAUCGAAUCUUUGAACGCACCUUGCGCCUUGUGGUAUUCCACAAGGCAUGCCCGUUUGAGUAUCAUUAAAUCAUCAACUCUAAAACCUUUGUGGUUUUUUUAGAGCUUGGUCUUGAGGGUUUUGCAGGCUUUUUUUUUUUUCGAGUCUGCUCCCUUUAAAUGCAUUAGCGAGACUUCCCUAUGCUGAACCGUCUCUUUGACGUGAUAAUUAUCUGCGUCGAAUUUUGGUUCUCGUUGGGCUUGCUUCUAAUCGUCUGUUAAAGACAAAACGGAUUUGGGUGCAUAUAUGCGCCUUUUUCCAAAACCUUUUUUGAUCUCAAAUCGUGUAGGACUACCCGCUGAACUUAAGCAUAUCAAUAAGCGGAGGA
rnacentral:misc_RNA from 1 species